rnacentral:lncRNA from 1 species
GGUCAUAAUAUAUUUUUUGGAUCCAAGGUUUGUUUGGCUCUUUGUAGUAUUUCCACCACUAUUUGAGGAGCUAACUCUUGUUGAGUAGUGAGAGGUUUGAGAUGCCCAGGCCCCCAAAUUUCUUGAGAUGACAUACAUGACUCCAUGCUGCCAAACAUUUGAGCUAUUGUUGUUGAUGCCCCACAAGAAGGAUCUGCACAUCUUAUCAAUCUUUUUGAUAACUAAGGCUGGGAUG